AACGAACGCUGGCGGCAUGCCUAACACAUGCAAGUCGAACGAGACCUUCGGGUCUAGUGUCGCACGGGUGCGUAACGCGUGGGAACCUGCCCUUAGGUUCGGAAUAACUCCCCGAAAGGGGUGCUAAUACCGGAUAAUGUCUUCGGACCAAAGAUUUAUCGCCUUUGGAUGGGCCCGCGUUGGAUUAGCUAGUUGGUAGGGUAAAAGCCUACCAAGUCGACGAUCCAUAGCUGGUCUGAGAGGAUGAUCAGCCACACUGGGACUGAGACACGGCCCAGACUCCUACGGGAGGCAGCAGUGGGGAAUAUUGGACAAUGGGCGAAAGCCUGAUCCAGCAAUGCCGCGUGAGUGAUGAAGGACUUAGGGUUGUAAAGCUCUUGUACCCGGGAUGAUAAUGACAGUACCGGGAGAAUAAGCUCCGGCUAACUCCGUG
rnacentral:rRNA from 1 species